UACAUUGGCGACUGAGCUUCAGGCUU
rnacentral:piRNA from 1 species